rnacentral:sRNA from 1 species
GCCAGGCAUGGUGGUGCAUGGCUGUAAUCCCAGUGGCUUGGGAGGCUGAGGCAGGAGGAUCACAAAUUCAAAGGCAGCCUCAGCAAUUUAUUGAGGUCCUAAGCAGCUUAAUGAGACCCUGUCUCAA